CCCUUCUCAGGAUCAUACCUGGAGAGUUUCCAGCACUCUACCAGUCCCGGCUACAAGAUGGAGAGUCAAUCAGAGGCAUACCCAUUCCAUUCCUAGCUUGGACAGUGGCUAGCAAGUGGCAGUCAAUCUGCUACAAGU